rnacentral:rRNA from 1 species
GGCGAGUGAAGCGGCAACAGCUCAAAUUUGAAAUCUGGCGUCUUCGGCGUCCGAGUUGUAAUUUGCAGAGGGCGCUUUGGCAUUGGCAGCGGUCCAAGUUCCUUGGAACAGGACGUCACAGAGGGUGAGAAUCCCGUACGUGGUCGCUAGCCUUUACCGUGUAAAGCCCCUUCGACGAGUCGAGUUGUUUGGGAAUGCAGCUCUAAAUGGGAGGUAAAUUUCUUCUAAAGCUAAAUACUGGCCAGAGACCGAUAGCGCACAAGUAGAGUGAUCGAAAGAUGAAAAGCACUUUGGAAAGAGAGUUAAAAAGCACGUGAAAUUGUUGAAAGGGAAGCGCUUGCAGCCAGACUUGCCUGUAGUUGCUCAUCCGGGUUUUUACCCGGUGCACUCUUCUAUAGGCAGGCCAGCAUCAGUUUGGGCGGUUGGAUAAAGGUCUCUGUCAUGUACCUCCUUUCGGGGAGAUCUUAUAGGGGAGACGACAUGCAACCAGCCUGGACUGAGGUCCGCGCAUCUGCUAGGAUGCUGGCGUAAUGGCUGUAAGCGGCCCGUCUUGAAACACGGACCAAGGAGUCUAACAUCUAUGCGAGUGUUUGGGUGUCAAGCCCGAACGCGUAAUGAAAGUGAACGGAGGUGGGAACCUUUCGGGGUGCACCAUCGACCGAUCCUGAUGUCUUCGGAUGGAUUUGAGUAAGAGCAUAGCUGUUGGGACCCGAAAGAUGGUGAACUAUGCUUGAAUAGGGUGAAGCCAGAGGAAACUCUGGUGGAGGCUCGCAGCGGUUCUGACGUGCAAAUCGAUCGUCAAAUUUGGGCAU